rnacentral:rRNA from 1 species
GACGAACGCUGGCGGCGUGCCUAAUACAUGCAAGUCGAACGCAGUGGGGACGGGUGAGUAACACGUGGGUAACCUCCCAUCAGAGGGGAUAACACUUGGAAACAGGUGCUAAACCGAUACUGAUGGAUGGACCCGCGGUGCAUUAGCUAGUUGGUGAGGUAACGGCUCACCAAGGCCACGAUGCAUAGCCGACCUGAGAGGGUUAUCGGCCCCAUUGGGACUAUGACACGGCCCCGACCCCUACCGACGGCCGUACUCUGCAAGCUUCGCCAACGGACGAAAGUCUGACCUAGCAAUGCCUCGUGAGGUAAGAUGGUUUUCCGCUCCUAAAUCUCUAUUGUUAGAGAAGCGGUACCUAACCAGAGAGCCACGGCUAAGUACGUGCCAGUUGCCGCGGUAAUAC